AUUUGCUCCUACUGCUUAAAGAAAAAUGGAGAAAAGCAGGAUGAGAUGAAGGUGCCUGAAGCUAUUGCAGACUCCUGUUGGCUUGUUUGACAAGAUCUUACUAAUACAGAUGGGAAAUAGGCUAUUGCAGAGAUGGAUAUUACUACAGGAAUCAGAGAAGAAAUACAUUUCAUACUGAGCCUGAUCAAAGAUCAAGAGAAAAGGAGUUGUAGUUCCAUACAAAAGCUGUUGGCCACCUGAGCUGAAGAUGCUAGCAGCAAAAAGGCUCUUUGAAGAUCAGUAGCCAUGGUCUGUUUCGAAAAACAGGUGCAUACCACAUGUAAGAGUGGAGAAAGCUGCAUUUCCUUCAAAGAGAGAAACUGAGUCGUCGUUCAUUCCUGGGGUAAAAGGUACUGUUAUUUACCAUGACUUUAUUAAUUGUGUAAAUAAUUUUGAUAAUGUGCAUGCAUUUGAAGCUAGUAAAUAUUUAUUGCCAGAAGUUACUGGAAGGUUGUAUCAACCCAUGUUUGUGGAUACAGGUCUUUGAAGGGUUCAUUUGUUCUGUAAAGUGAAUGAUUCAGUGACCCUGGAACAGAAAUGUAUAUAUGAUGAGGUGUGCUAAUAAAAUAUUAGUUAUGUUAUCA
rnacentral:lncRNA from 1 species